CGGGCUCAAUUUCCUUGGAACAGGAGGUCAUGGAGGGUGAGAACCCCGUACAUGGCUUGGGUGCCGCAGUCCUAGUGAUGGUUCCUCUAAGAGUCAGGUUGUUUGGGAAUGCAGCUCAAAAUGGGUGGUAAAUUUCAUCUAAAGCUAAAUAUUGGCGAGAGACCGAUAGCAAACAAGUAGAGUGAUCGAAAGAUGAAAAGUACUUUGAAAAGAGAGUGAAACAGUACGUGAAAUUGUUGAAAGGGAAGCGUUUGGCAUCAGCCCAUGAUGGUCAUCGAACAUCCUGGCUUCUCUGCCUGGUGCACUCGAUGGCCAUUGGGCCAGCGUCGGCUCUGCCAGCUGGAGAAAGGCCUUGGACAAGUGGCUCCUUUUCGGGAGCGUUAUAGCCCAUGGCGUCAUGCAGCUUGGUGGGGCCGAGGUCCGCGGGUUUUCCUAGGACGCUGGCGUAAUGGUUCCAAGCGACCCGUCUUGAAACACGGACCAAGGAGUCUAACAUCUAUGCGAGUGUUUGGGUGUCAAGCCCG
rnacentral:rRNA from 1 species